GAGUUUGAUCAUGGCUCAGGAUGAACGCUAGCGACAGGCCUAACACAUGCAAGUCGAGGGGCAACGGGGAUGUUAGCUUGCUAAUAUCUGCCGGCGACCGGCGCACGGGUGAGUAACGCGUAUGCGACCUGCCCGUCACAGGGGGAUAAUCCGGAGAAAUCCGGUCUAAUACCGCAUAAUAUCGUGAAUCUGCAUGGAUUUGCGAUUAAAGGAGCGAUCCGGUGACGGAUGGGCAUGCGUGACAUUAGCUAGUCGGCGGGGUAACGGCCCACCGAGGCGACGAUGUCUAGGGGUUCUGAGAGGAAGGUCCCCCACACUGGUACUGAGACACGGACCAGACUCCUACGGGAGGCAGCAGUGAGGAAUAUUGGUCAAUGGGCUUACGCCUGAACCAGCCAAGUCGCGUGAGGGAAGACUGCCCUAUGGGUUGUAAACCUCUUUUGUCAGGGAGCAACGCCGGCUACGUGUAGCCGGACUGAGAGUACCUGAAGAAAAAGCAUCGGCUAACUCCGUGCCAGCAGCCGCGGUAAUACGGAGGAUGCGAGCGUUAUCCGGAUUUAUUGGGUUUAAAGGGUGCGUAGGCGGAAUGCCAAGUCAGCGGUAAAAUCGCGGGGCUCAACCUCGCUCCGCCGUUGAAACUGGCGUUCUUGAGUGGGCGAGAAGUAUGCGGAAUGCGUGGUGUAGCGGUGAAAUGCAUAGAUAUCACGCAGAACUCCGAUUGCGAAGGCAGCAUACCGGCGCCCAACUGACGCUGAAGCACGAAAGCGUGGGUAUCGAACAGGAUUAGAUACCCUGGUAGUCCACGCAGUAAACGAUGAAUACUAGCUGUUCGGGGCAAUUGGGCCUUGAGUGGCACAGCGAAAGCGUUAAGUAUUCCACCUGGGGAGUACGCCGGCAACGGUGAAACUCAAAGGAAUUGACGG
rnacentral:rRNA from 1 species